UACGGGGGGGGUAAGCGUUGUUCGGAAUUACUGGGCGUAAAGGGCUCGUAGGCGGCCAACUAAGUCAGACGUGAAAUCCCUCAGCUUAACUGGGGAACUGCGUCUGAUACUGGAUGGCUUGGAUUCGGGAGAGGAAUGCGGAAUUCCAGGUGUAGCGGUGAAAUGCGUAGAUAUCUGGAGGAACACCGGUGGCGAAGGCGGCAUUCUGGACCGACAUUGACGCUGAGGAGCGAAAGCCAGGGGAGCCAACGGG
rnacentral:rRNA from 1 species